AUUGAACGCUGGCGGCAGGCCUAACACAUGCAAGUCGAGCGAGCGGCGGACGGGUGAGUAAUGUCUGGGAAACUGCCUGAUGGAGGGGGAUAACUACUGGAAACGGUAGCUAAUACCGCAUACCAUCGGAUUUGCCCAGAUGGGAUUAGCUGGUCGGUGGGGUAACGGCUAACCUAGGCGACGAUCCCUAGCGGGCCUGAGAGGAUGACCAGCAAAACGGGAACUGGGACACGGUCCAGACUCCUACGGACGGCAGCAGUGGGGAAUAUUGCACAAUGGGGGCAAGCCUGAUGCAGCCAUGCCGCGGGUAUGAAGAGGGCCUUCGGGUGGUAAAGUACUUUCAGCGGGGAGGCGUUACCCGCAGAAGAAGCACCGGCUAACUCCGUGCCAGCAGCCGCGGUAAUUC
rnacentral:rRNA from 1 species